rnacentral:misc_RNA from 1 species
AGGGAGGGGGUGGGGUUGAAGAGGGAGCAAUUGACGACAAGGAUCCCGAUGUCGCGGGGGCGGACCUUGGUUGAUUCAAACAGCUGAUCUAGCGCUCCAAACAUGACCUGUUCCGCCUCGGAGCGGGCGGCGGCCAUGGACGGGCGAGGGGGGAGGUAGUGCAAUGCGUCGGGGAGGUAGGUCUCCUCACCGAGGCCGGAUCGCUCGAG